rnacentral:rRNA from 1 species
AGCAGCCACCUUUAAAAAAGCGUUUAAGCUUCAUUGUAUUUUAUAAAAAUUUCCACUAAUUUUCUAAAACCCUUUAACCUGUACUGAAUGGUCUUAUGACUUCAUAAGAGCCUAUAUGUUAGAACUAGUAACAAGAAGAAGCCCUUCUCCAAAAUGUAAGCAUGAACCAAAAUGAACUAUUCAUUGGCAUUUAAAGUUAAUAAUCUUCUAGUAGUAACUACUCAAGAAAAACCUACUAUAUUUAACGUCAACCUUACACCAGCACAUUCCUGGAAAGAUUAAAAGACUAGGAAGGAACUCGGCAAACAAAUAACCCCGCCUGUUUACCAAAAACAUCGCCUCCUGAUUUUUAUAGGAGGUCUAGCCUGCCCAGUGACAAAGUUAAACGGCCGCGGUACCCUAACCGUGCAAAGGUAGCGCAAUCACUUGUUCUUUAAAUGAGGACUAGUAUGAACGGCAUCACGAGGGUUAUGCUGUCUCCCUACUUUAUUCAGUGAAACUGAUCUCCCCGUGAAGAGGCGGGGAUAAAAAUAUAAGACGAGAAGACCCCAUGGAGCUUUAAACUCAGUGUCAACUGCCAUAUUUAAAACCUAAUAUUCAAGCAAGUUAUGACUACUAGUUUUCGGUUGGGGUGACCACGGAGUAAAACCUAACCUCCACGAUGAAAGGAAAUAGCAACCUAAAUUAAGAGCUACAGCUCUAAAUAUCAAUAAAUUGACUUAUUGACCCAAUUAAUUGAUCAACGAACCAAGUUACCCUGGGGAUAACAGCGCAAUCCAUUUCAAGAGCUCCUAUCGACAAAUGGGUUUACGACCUCGAUGUUGGAUCAGGGUAUCCCAGUGGCGCAGCCGCUACUAAUGGUUC